rnacentral:rRNA from 1 species
GACGAACGCUGGCGGCGUGCUUAACACAUGCAAGUCGAGCGAGGCCCUCCUUCGGGAGGUGCCCUAGCGGCGAACGGGUGAGUAACACGUGGGCAACCUGCCCUCAGCUCGGGGAUAACUCCAAGAAAUUGGUGCUAAUACCGGAUGUGACCGCUGACCGCAUGGUCUGGUGGUGGAAAGAUUUAUCGGCUGAGGAUGGGCCCGCGGCCUAUCAGCUUGUUGGUGGGGUAAUGGCCCACCAAGGCGACGACGGGUAGCCGGCCUGAGAGGGUGACCGGCCACACUGGGACUGAGACACGGCCCAGACUCCUACGGGGGGCAGCAGUGGGGAAUAUUGCACAAUGGGCGCAAGCCUGAUGCAGCAACGCCGCGUGAGGGACGACGGCCUUCGGGUUGUAAACCUCUUUUAGUAGGGAAGAAGCGAAAGUGACGGUACCUGCAGAAAAAGCACCGGCUAACUACGUGCCAGCCUCCGCAGUAAAAC